rnacentral:rRNA from 1 species
GACGAACGCUGGCGGCGUGCUUAACACAUGCAAGUCGAACGGAAAGGCCCUGCUUUUGUCGGGUGCUCGAGUGGCGAACGGGUGAGUUACACGUGAGUCUCCUUCCCUUGACUUUGUGAUGACUUCAGGAAACUGCUGCUAAUACCUGCUAGCUGCUCCUGCUGCAUGGUGGUGUUUGGACAGCUUAGGUGGAUGGAGAUAUACUGGGGGGUUAUCAGCUUGUUGGUGGGGGAGUUGCUUACCAAGCCUUCGAAGGAUAGUCGGCCUGAGAGGGUGAACGGCCACAUUGGGACUGAGAGACGGAGCAGACGCGUACGGGAGGCAGCGGGCGGGAGUAUUGCACAAUGGGCGGAAGCCUGAGGCAGAAAUGCCGCGUGCGGGAUGACGGCCUUCGGGGGGUAAACCGCUUUCGGCUGAGACGAAGCGGGAGUGACGGUAAUGGGUAAAGAAGCACCGGCUAACUACGUG